AGGUGGAUACCACCACACUGUCUUGUAGAUGUUGAUGUAGUGGACGAAGAGUGCUAUGAGCUGGCAGAAGAAGAGCUGCAACUCAAACAGAAUGCUGGCCUGGACUGGCAGCUCGGGGAUCUUGCAGUGCUGUAGAGGCACAACAGUUUGGGUGGCCAGAGGAGGGCUGGAGAGGCCUGUUCCAGAACUGCUCCUGACAGUGGGGAGGGAACAACAUCAGCAGCUGACCUGAGAAUCCUACCAGGAAGGGCUUCUGAGGCAAAGGAUUGUGGGAUAAGAUCAGAAAAGCAGCUCAUAGCAAGGACGGGGUCUUCCUAAUCCUGCUUGUCAGACAAAGGAACCCGACAAAGCCUUUUCCUAUCCCUAAUCUUAUUCAGGUCUUCCAACACCCCCUAGGAGAGAAAGAAUUAUUAGGUCCAUCUUACAGAUGAGGAAAAGGAGGCCCAGAGAAGGGAGGCAACUUGUCCAAGCCAUCAGCAAAUCUGGAGCAGAACUGUAAUUAGAAUCCAGGCCUUUGGAUUUAUUCUACCAUGUCCCACUGCAUCUGUCCAAGUGAUCACCCUCAACUGAGCUCCCUCUGGAUCUUUUCUGCUGCUUACUCCCCUCUAAGCCCCCACUGGCAUCUAGGAUUUCACAUCUUAGAAUCCAGUCAGAGAGAGCCCUGUCCACAUCGUCCCUGUGAGGCCACAGUGAGGGGUGAGACAGAGAGGUGGUUUACCUGGUGCGGGAACGAACACUGGUCACCGAUGCACUGGAAGUGUGGCUUCCACUAGAGCCCCCCGAGGAUCCCGGCUCACAGAGCGGAUUUCGACAGUAAGAUGUCCUGUUGGGACCUCUUCGUCCUCCUGUGGGGCUCAACAUAAAAUAGAGCCUCAAGCCAGGGGGCAUAUAUCAAGGAUAACAGCAAUGAUACCAGCUGCCAGUCACCUAGUAUCUCACUUUAUCAUUUAAUCCUCACUGAGACCUAUGAUCUGGCCCCUUCUUACAUCUUCAGCUUCAUCCCCUAUCAUUCUCUACCUCACACCCACCCUCUACCACCCGCCCCAUGCUCUAAACAUCUUGAUCUUUCUUUCCUCAGCAAGCCAAGCUCAUUGCUACCUCUAGCACUUAUAAUAUCCUAUCUGGAAAGCCUUUCCCGGACUGCCAUUUCUGAAGUUUUGAAGUAACUCCCCAUCACUCUCUCUCCAAUUUCUAUUCUUUUUUUCCACCAGAAUUCACUCUCUGAAAUUAUCUUACUCAUUUGUUAAUAUGCUUAUUGCUUGUCUGUCCUAUUACAAUGAAAGGUCAAUGAGGUCAGUUACCUUAUCUUUUUCACUGCUAUAUCCCCUACCUCAGUGCCCAGCAAGUAUAUGUUGAUGAGUGAAUGAACCCAGCAAGGUAGGUUUUUCACACAUUAGGAAACUCAGCUUACACUAUGUCACAGUAUCGUGGCUGGGUCGUGUGCUCUCAACUCUGGUACACAUUGGGCCCCAUUCAGACAUAAGUUUCUGGAGGCCUAUAACUCUGGGUAACUUUGGGACAGCUUUUUCAUCCAGGGCCCCAUGAUUCAGCUCAAAGGGCAUUCUGGGAUCUCAUGGGCAGGACCCAGGGCCUAAAUAAAGGGUCAAGGAUAUGGCUGGGAGAAUCCUGUGGCUGUGGACUGAAAAAUUGGACCUACUAGGCUGAGCAGUCUAGCCCAAGCUCCCACGCACCACUUCGCACAAAAGUUCUGCACAAAGCUCCUAAGCACCUAAAAAAGUCACAACCUGACUGGGUGUGGUGGCUCACGACUGUAAUCUCAGCAAUUUGUGAGGCCGAGGCGGGAGGAUCGCUUGAGACCAGGAGUUGGAGACCAGCCUGGGCAACAUGGCGAAACCCGGUCUCUAUUAAAAAAUAUAUAUACAUACAUAUACAUAUUUUUAAAAAGUUAUAACCUGUUCAUACCUCUUCACAGUAACACAGCAGCCUCCAUUCACAUACACCCCACGCCGUAGCAUCUCAGCUCGGAAGCGUUUCCCACACUUCGGAGCCAAUUUUGGGCUUGGAUGUAUGCCCAAAAUUAUAAACCUCCACAAGUCUCUAAAAAGUACCUGGCGAAGAGCUCUGCCCUCCAUAAACCCCCAGACCAGAAGCUCUGUUCAUACGCUGUUAUACUUGGCUUAGAAAAUCCCACACAAACACCCUUAGUCCAGUCCAGAAGCUCUGCCCACACCCACUCUCCUCUCUUUAGAAGCUCUGCACCCACAUAAAGCCCCUCAGCCCAGAAGCUCCGCCUACACACAACUGUCAGCCCAGAAACCCCGCCCACAAGCCAAUAAAAGCCCUCUCAGCCCAGAAGCCCCACUCCAGAAUGGGCUCCCUCAGUCGGAAGUCUCCCCGCUCCACCGCCCCCAGUGUAACCCCUCCAACCCAGAAACGCCGACUGCACUAGCGCCCCCUGCCCAGAAUCUCCACCCUUAGCGCUGAAGCCACGCCCACUGGUAAGUCCCGCCCCCCUUUCUAGCCCCGACGAGCUGGUCCUCACGAAAGCCCAAGCCCCCACAGGGCUUCGUCUUAGAAGCCCCGCCCACCGUCCAAUGUCCCGCCCCCACAACAGAGGCCCCACCCCGCAAAACGACAGGAGGGGGCGGGAUCCCGUCUGCGCUCGCAUCCCCUCCCCCUCCCGUCACCGGGCUCCUGUCCGCGUGGAGCAGCAAUUAGCAGCCUGGCCAUCCUAACCCGUGCGCCCGCUCGUUGCCAGGCCGAGCCUGAGCCGCUCUGCUCACCCAUCUCCUCCCCCCGGUG
rnacentral:lncRNA from 1 species